rnacentral:rRNA from 1 species
UGGCGCACGGGUGAGUAAUGCAUAGAUAAUGUGCCCCUUAGUUCGGGAUAGCCACUGGAAACGGUGAUUAAUACCGGAUACUCCUUCUUGUUAUAAGACAAGUCGGGAAAGUUUUUCGCUAAGGGAUCAGUCUAUGUUCCAUCAGCUUGUUGGUGAGGUAAUGGCUCACCAAGGCUAUGACGGAUAUCUGGUUUGAGAGGAUGAUCAGACACACUGGAACUGAGACACGGUCCAGACUCCUACGGGAGGCAGCAGUGAGGAAUAUUGCACAAUGGAGGAAACUCUGAUGCAGCAACGCCGCGUGGAGGAUGACGCAUUUCGGUGUGUAAACUCCUUUUAUUAGGGAAGAUAAUGACGGUACCUAAUGAAUAAGCACCGGCUAACUCCGUGCCAGCAGCCGCGGUAAUACGGAGGGUGCAAGCGUUACUCGGAAUCACUGGGCGUAAAGGGUGCGUAGGCUGGCUUUUAAGUCAGAUGUGAAAUCCAAUGGCUCAACCAUUGAACUGCAUUUGAAACUGAAAGCCUAGAGUUCAGAAGGGGCAGAUGGUAUUAGUGGUGUAGGGGUAAAAUCCGUAGAUAUCACUAGGAAUAUCAAAAGCGAAGGCGAUCUGCUGGGAUGAUACUGACGC